GGGAAUUGAAGGAACCAUUCAAGGCCAAAUUAAUCUCUUCAUUUGCAUUUUCAGUGACGGCUGUCGAGCCAGCAGCAUGUGCUAAUGCCAAGAGAUGCCCGAAAGACACAUUGCUCCAUUCAUCUAUAUCAUCGGUAGAUACGUCAUUGCACGUUUUAAUAUUGUUCUCACCAUACAUUUUGGAUUCUGCCCCUGCUGCUGCU
rnacentral:misc_RNA from 1 species